UCUAGCUCCGCUGAUGAGUCAUACCAGGCCCAGUGACACCACUGUCACUAUCCUUAUCCAGCAGAUAGGACAUCGCCCCCCUCCAUCCCUCAGCCACCCCGCCCCUCCUGCCCAAGCUGGGCUGCCCUUGCUCUGUGACACCUCCUGAUGGUGUGACUGACAGUGACAUCGAGGCAGCUGUUGUCCCUCUGGCAGGACCUACCUUGCCUGGUGACUCAGACCCUGCUGCUGAGGGAUCUGACAGUGCUGUAGAUGGAUCGUGUAGCCGGGAGCCAGACUUUCCAGCCUUGCCACUCUCCCUGCUCUGAAAGUCACUUCUGGAUGAUCAAAUGAAAAUGCAGCUUCAGUCCGUGAACCCCAAAGCACCUUCUAAGCUCUAACAUUUGGGGACUGUCUGAUCCCCAUAAUUAUAAGCCGCAUGGAAACAGGCCCCAUGUCUAUGAAUUGACCAAGCUUAUUUUAUGUAAAUCAUACCUCAAAGUAGCUGGAAAAAGCAAAUCCAAAUGCUCAAGAUACAUGGCAAUCAAAAGAAUAUUCCAGGAUUACUGAGACCUUGGGUAUGUGGCCGGUACCCAUGAGAAUGGGAUCAGAGAAUAAAUUUGAAGGAGAAAGAGGAAGAGGAGGAGGAGGAGAAGGAGGAGAAGGACAAGGAGAAGGAGAAGGAGGAGAAGGACAAGGAGAAGGAGAAGGAGAAGAAGGAGAAGAAGGAGAAGGAGAAAGAGAAGAAGGAGAAGAAGAAGGAGAAGGAGAAGGACAAGGACAAGGAGAAGGAGAAGGAGAAGGAGAAGAAGAAGGAGAGGAGGAGGAGGAAGCAUGAAGAAAAAGUCUUGUUGAACUGCUCUGAUCUCCUAGCCAUAAAAUAUACCCUUGGGAUUAGAUCCUUGCUGUGAAAUACUGCCCAGCGAUUAGAUCUGGAGCCAUGAAAUAUAACCAUGCAUUUAGAUCUCCACCUUGGAAAUACAGUUUGCUGAUUAGAUCGCCCCCAUGAAAUACGGCCUUUGGGUUAGCGCAUGCCAGUAAAAUAUGGCCUUUGAUUAGAUCACCGCGGAGAAGGCUCCAAUGCUGGCUGGGACUGGGAACGUUCACCACAGCUGAGCAAAAUAAAAUAUAAAUGUAUGGAGAGGAAGAGAAAGUGGGGAAGGUAAAUUAAUAAUGGCGACAUCCUGGAACUUCUCGGAGGUUGCCAGUCUGAUG
rnacentral:lncRNA from 1 species